UACGAAGGGUGCAAACGUUGCUCGGAAUUAUUGGGCGUAAAGCGCACGUAGGCGGCUUAGCAAGUCGGAAGUGAAAUCCCUCGGCUCAACCAAGGAAGUGCUUUCGAAACUGCUGAGCUUGAGUACUUAAGAGGAUCGCGGAAUUCCCGGUGUAGAGGUGAAAUUCGUAGAUAUCGGGAGGAACACCAGUGGCGAAGGCGGCGAUCUGGGAAGUUACUGACGCUGAGGUGCGAAAGCGUGGGGAGCCAAACAGG
rnacentral:rRNA from 1 species